ensembl:lincRNA Gm13173 predicted gene 13173
CCUGGCUUGCUCCCCAUGGCUUGCUCAGCCGACCUUCUUACGUGCAAACCAGGAUCCUCUGCCACACUCACAAUGGGCUGCCUUUGCUGCCUUCCACCUCUAAUCAUUGAGCUCCAGGUCUGUGAGAGAGCCUGUCUCAACAAACAAGGUACAACUGACUUGGGACAGAGACCAACAAAAGCCACCAACUCCAGGUUUAAUCAUGACAUCAGUGAGCUACUGAACAGGACGCACAAACAAGUCUUUGAGAACUCUGUGAACAGAUGCAUCUUUCGUGGCUCCUGUGGACUCUGCCCCUCAUGGGUCUCACUCCCUAUGCUUCAAGUUCCUGUGCAUCCCGAGUUCAAUGCAAAGCUUCAAGCUAAUAAGUUAACUGCCAAUUAUUCUGACCCACCAACAAUUUAUAAGGUGCUAAAUAGUUAUUCAUUCAGCUAAAAACACG